GAGAGAGAAAGUGGGAGAAAGAAUAAAAAGGGUUAGAGAGAAGAGGAGCUUGAAGAUUCAAGAAGAUGAUAGAACCUAGGAGUUAAAAUGAAGCUUGAGCUAGGGAAUUGAUCUAACUAAGUAUGAGAAAACGUUGUGCAUGAUUAGUUUGCUCUGGUGAGUUGAUUGUUGCUUGGUGGAUAUGAGGAGCUAUCUCCGGUAUCGGUGUUUGUAGAGUCUAGGAUGGCUCUGAUGUAGGCGUCUGUUUAUGUUGGUCUAGAUUAUAUGUUUGGAUUUAUUCAUGUUGG
rnacentral:lncRNA from 1 species